GUGUCAGCAGCCGCGGUAAUACAGAGGUCCCAAGCGUUGUUCGGAUUCACUGGGCGUAAAGGGUGCGUAGGCGGUCGGGCAAGUCUGAUGUGAAAUCUCGGAGCUCAACUCCGAAACUGCAUUGGAUACUGCUUGGCUGGAGGUUGGGAGGGGGGACUGGAAUUCUCGGUGUAGCAGUGAAAUGCGUAGAUAUCGAGAGGAACACCAGUGGCGAAGGCGAGUCCCUGGACCAAUCCUGACGCUGAGGCACGAAAGCCAGGGGAGCAAACGGGAUUAGAAACCCUAGUAGUCC
rnacentral:rRNA from 1 species